rnacentral:tRNA from 1 species
UCCCUAGUGGCUCAGCUGGUAGAGAACUCGCCUGCAGUGUGGGAGACCUGGGUUCAAUCCCUGGGUUGGGAA